AACGAACGCUGGCGGCAGGCCUAACACAUGCAAGUCGAGCGAGACCUUCGGGUCUAGCGGCGGACGGGUGAGUAACGCGUGGGAAUAUGCCCUUUUCUACGGAAUAGCCUCGGGAAACUGAGACUAAUACCGUAUACGCCCUUCGUGGGACAGAUUUAUCGGAGAAGGAUUAGCCCGCGUUGGAUUAGGUAGUUGGUGUGGUAAUGGCCUACCAAGCCUACGAUCCAUAGCUGGUUUGAGAGGAUGAUCAGCCACACUGGGACUGAGACACGGCCCAGACUCCUACGGGAGGCAGCAGUGGGGAAUCUUAGACAAUGGGGGAAACCCUGAUCUAGCCAUGCCGCGUGAGUGAUGAAGGCCUUAGGGUUGUAAAGCUCGUUCAGCUGGGAAGAUAAUGACGGUACCAGCAGAAGAAGCCCCGGCUAACUCCGUGCCAGCCGCCGCGGUAACAC
rnacentral:rRNA from 1 species